GCAAUACUACAGCAAUUUCAGCUGAGUCCUGUAAAACACUGUAUACACUGCUUAAACUUGAAAGGCUGAGACAAUGCUUGUUUUUUUCAAAAUCGUGUGAAAUUGAGAGGUGAGCCCUGUCCUGCUGUGCGCCAGGGAAGUCAGAUGCUUCAGAAGGGAUCCAGUCUCCAGGCAGCUCCUCAUUCUUGGUGGGGGACAGGCCAAGAAGGAUGUGGCUCACAUCCGUGUGCCCCAGAAGAGUCAGCCAUGAUGCGUGUACAGAGACAAUUUCACUCUGCUCUGGAGAAGCUGCAGUCAUUUAGAGUUGGUAAAUGAAGGAGGCGUGAUGUUGAAGAGGAGCAGUCUGAAAGCGCUGAUGGUACAGUAAAGCAGCUCUAAGAGAAGCAGCCAGCUAAAGAGGGGAAACAGUGCAGCAGGAUGGUCUAAGUAAGUGUGACUGACUGCUCUGGGUCGCUGGGGUUUCGGCUGGACCUCAGCACACACGGUCAGUGAAGACAAGCACUGAACAGUAACUGCAUUCCUGCAAUCCUCACUUCCUUGCGGCGAGCAGCUACAGCUCCUGUUCUGGCUGAGUGGCUGCAAGGAGAAAUAAGUAUAAAAUAAUAUCACUUUCUCCUACACAAUCAUAGAUACGAGCCUUCAGCAAUCAUCAAAGCAGUGGUACGGGCUGAAAUCAAGCUAGAAAAGUCUCUCUCACUCCUAGAAGCCCUCCAUAAUUUACAACACAUUCACAAUCUUCAGAAUGGUUUUCCAGUAGAAAUUCCCCUGUUGAAUGCCCUGCUUGGCUCAUUUUCUGUUAAUCCUUAGGUUUGUGAGAGCAGCAAGGAGAAAUUCAAGACUUGAAGACUUUGCCCCAACAUGCAGUUGCCCUCUAGCGACCUGCAAAGGGUUUAGUUAUAUUUCUGGGAUGUCUGCACUAGCAAAUGCCCGCUGCACUUCAAAGCAGUGUCUGGUGCGUGCCAGCCCAGGUGGUUUAUGCUCCUGUGUCUUGUGACUGGAAGAAAAUACUCUAAAUGAAUUCACAUUUGCAUUAAAAAAAGAAAGUGGGGACUGGUGCUCCUUUAAAAUCAGGUUUUAUUUGUCUUCUCUGCUCUCUGUAUGUAAUAGAAUCCUGCUGUUUUUCUUUCCACACAAAUCUAAAUAAAUGGCACCACAGGAAAAUAACCAUUUACCUCCAGUUUACUCAUCGUUUGGACAAUGAGGUGGACCAUACAGGCUGUAGUCUUCAUCGUCUCCAUCUUUUCCUGAGUUUAGAGCUUUUCUUUUGGCUGUUGAAUCUUCUAAAAGUUAAUUUCUUGCCAAAGAUAACUGAUUGAGGAUGUGUGCUACUGCUAAAGCUUCCUGGUAAGGUUUUCUGUGUCAUCUGUUCAUUUCCUCCUUGUUGCCCAAAACAUGUAGAGAUUAAAGGCUGUUGCUGCUACUUCAUGUACUUCCUUUCCUGGUAUAGUAAAAGCAGCUUUGGGAGCAGA